rnacentral:lncRNA from 1 species
AGUGCAGUUCUGUCUCACUCUGUGUUUACUCUGUUAAAUCUGUCUGAAAUUUUUCUCUAAAAAACUCUUAGAGAAGAUGAGGUUCCUGAUGUUUCUGCUGCUCUUCACUCUCAUGGUGGGCUUCAAUGUUCUUCAGUGCAGAGAAGUUGUUGAUGUGCAGCUGACUGAUGCAGAUGCAGCACCAAAACCUGGAGACGUGAUAAAGUCAGCUGGUGUCAGGACCCACAGGCAUCAGAGGAAACCAUGUGUCUGCAGUGGUGCAAAUAAAAGUCAGUGCUGCAAGUCACAGAAGAAACUCUCUGAUUUGGAGAAGAAUCAAUGCGGAAAGAAAGGGAUUUACAACUAUGGAAAAUGCAAAAUGUUCCUCAGUAGGAUGAAUUCCAAGGCCCCCAGUACCCCAAUUUAAUUUCAACAAAAUCCCUGUAAAAAUGUGCUGUUCACAGUAUUAUAUCAUCUCUCAUUUACUGGAGCUUCGUGAUGCUUAUUGUGUUUAGAAGAGAAGAUGCAGACCUUUUUCGUCUGUCUUUCAUUUUCUCCAAAAAAUAGUAUUCAGUUCUGGUUCCUUCAUUAAGUCAUUAAGUAAAACUGAUGUAUAUAUACAUAUAUAUAAAACACACACACACACACACACACACACACACACAUAUAGUACUGUG